rfam:Picea glauca, whole genome shotgun sequence.
GCUAAUGAUGAUUUGUCCAAUCUCAGGAGUUGCAAAUGGUGCCAAGCCCUUGAUCUAAUCGAGGAGAACCUACUUGGCAUUGCCUAUGCAUCUCAAUGACACCAUUGGGCAUUACUGAGGC